rnacentral:snRNA from 1 species
GUUUUUACAAAUACUCAUAAAAAUCAGAAUGAUGCAGAGAAGGUUAGUGUGACCCCUGCACAUAAAAAGCUUGCAAAUUCAUGAAGUUUUCAUAUUUUUU